ACGGGAGGCAGCAGUGGGGAAUAUUGCGCAAUGGGCGGAAGCCUGACGCAGCGACGCCGCGUGGGGGAUGACGGCCUUCGGGUUGUAAACCUCUUUCGGCCCCGACGAAGCGUGAGUGACGGUAGGGGUGGAAGAAGCACCGGCCAACUACGUGCCAGCAGCCGCGGUAACACGUAGGGUGCGAGCGUUGUCCGGAAUUAUUGGGCGUAAAGAGCUCGUAGGCGGUGUGUCGCGUCGGCCGUGAAAACCUGCAGCUUAACUGUGGGCUUGCGGUCGAUACGGGCAUCACUGGAGUUCGGCAGGGGAGACUGGAAUUCCUGGUGUAGCGGUGAAAUGCGCAGAUAUCAGGAGGAACACCGGUGGCGAAGGCGGGUCUCUGGGCCGAUACUGACGCUGAGGAGCGAAAGCGUGGGGAGCGAACAGGAUUAGAUACCCUGGUA
rnacentral:rRNA from 1 species